UCGAGCUGCACAGUGCUGAAGCCGGUGCUCCGGCGCGUGCUCACGCUCCUUGAUGGAGAGACCACGAGUUUCCUGUGUCUAAUCAAACUUUCUUAAGAUCGUACAACAAGUCACGGCAGGAAAGAUGCAAGAUUUAAAGGAUGCUUAUUCCCAUGCAGUAGUCCUACAGUAUUUUCAUUAAGGUCCAUGAGAUGAUUAGUUAAGAGACAUGGAGUGACCUGAUCUUAAGUCUCCUACAGUACAUAGGCUCCAGCUAUAUUGUUUGGAGCGGAUUGUAUGGCCCAGAUCCAGGUUUCCUCUCCAAACACGCUCCAGAGGAAAUGAGCUUCUCGGCACGAGAGGACCAACUGAGCAAAGCUUUCCACUGACUUCUCUUCGGCUUAGCCUGAUUACAAAAUGAAGAUAUUUCUGGACUGUUUCGACUUAUUUUCUGGCUCCUGUCCACUCAAUAAUUUGAUCCACAAGGUUAACAGCUACCUUAUGACUUUUAAACGAGCAACAUGUUUUCUUAUACUGUAGACAGGACAGGGCAUUAUGUUUAUUUACCCUUAAUAGUCAUUACAUCUCCCAGUUUGUGUUCUGUACUCAUCUGUAAGGUCGUUAUAGUAAAGCAUACAGCUUACUUCGCAUUGUACCAAUUAUUCUUGAUAUUUCAUGCCUUUCUGAUAUUUACUAAAAAUAUGGAGAAAUUAAACCAGGAUGUGAAAUAACAGUUAUAUUUAACCUGGUUUUACCUUUUUCACCCAUAAAUAGAAAUCUGCAAAAGAUAUUAGAGAUGCGGCACAUACAGUAUUUAAACAGCUGAUAUUCGGCCGACACAGAGUAACAGAUAUACGGAUUUACCGUUCAAAUAGAUAGAUUAACAAACGGAGAUAGAUAGAUAGAUAGAUAGAUAGAUAGAUAGAUAGAUAGAUAGAUAGAUAGAUAGAUAGAUAGAUAGAGACAGACAGACAGAUAAACAGACAGACAGACAGAUAACGAUUCAAUUCAAUUCAAUUUUAUUUAUAUAGCGCUUUUAACAAUGGUCAUUGUCUCAAAGCAGCUUCACAAAGAUGAAAGAAAUAAAAAAUAAAAAAAAAACGAUAAAUAUAUAGACAUUAUAUAUAGACAUACAAAUUGAACUAUUAUAGAUAGACUUCAUUACGUGUUUUUUAUUUAUAAGAGAGAUAUUAAAGAUGUAAAUAAUCUCAGCUGAACAUUCCCCCUGUCCAGAUGUUCUCUCAGGAUGCACAUUGUGUGUUGUGUUUGUUGGUUUGUUUUCUUGUGUCCUCUCAGUGUUAACCCAUCACUGCCUCUAAUGCUCUUAUUACUGAGAUAUAAACACACAGCGUGGAGAUGAUUGAACACACACACAGGGAAACUGAUACACACAGAGAUGGAAAUAACACACAAGCAUAUCAGAUGUACACCAAUGCCCAUUUAUUAAACACACACUGACUCUUGUAGAGAUUUUCUAGCCUGGUUCUGUAGUUGUCCUUAACCAGAGACAGAAAUGUUCCAGCGCCACCUAGUGGGUAAAAGUCCUCGAACACUCAGAUGACCUCAUUUUAGGACACAGUGACAUUUACUAUCAAAGCCAAAUAAAUUGUUUCGUUAAGCACACAGCUUUAACAUGAGUUUUUUUUUUUUUAUAAAUAUAAAUUUUAAAUUGUGU